AUUCCAGCUCCAAUAGCGUAUACUAAAGUUGUUGCAAUUAAAAAGCUCGUAGUCGAAUGUAGGUUUUGUUACUACGCGAUCUCUUGGGUGUAACUUGAGUGGACUGCGUGUAACAACCUUCCCGGAUAUAACAGAGGUAGUCUGGGUAAUCUCAGGUUAUGUCUUGUUAUAUGCAUUACUGUGAACAAAAUAGAGUGUUCAUGGCAGGCCAAUUUAGGCUUGGAUACCUCAGCAUGGAAUAAUAGAAUAGGACUUCUGGUUCUAUUUUGUUGGUUUUUGGAGCCGAAGUAAUGAUUAAUAGGGAUAGUUGGGGGCACUCGUACUCCGUUGUCAGAGGUGAAAUUCUUGGAUUGACGGAAGACGAACAACUGCGAAAGCAUCUGCCAAGGAUGUUUUCAUCA
rnacentral:rRNA from 1 species